rnacentral:lncRNA from 1 species
ACCGGCACCGGACCUUUAGGCUGUGUUCCGGCGGAAAUAGCAAUGAGGGGAAGAAACGGAGAAUGCUCCGAGGAAUUGCAGAGAGCAGCUGGCUUGUUUAACCCACAGCUUGUGCAAUUGAUAAAUGAACUGAAUGCUGAAAUUGGAUCCGACAUUUUUGUAGCUGCAAAUGCAUAUGAAAUGAACAUGGAUUUUGUUAACAACCCUCAAACCUAUGGUAAGUUAAUUAUCUCAAUUUCUUUUUUUAUUUUUGAAAAAGAGGCAUGAUUUAUUUGCAUAUGAUCAUGAGAUAAAUUUACCUUUACUAUUAGAACAUGCAUGGCCUGUGGAAAUUAUCAAAUAUAAUGAACAGUAGAUGCAGAUGACCAGUGGGCAAAAGGACUUAUUCACUGGAGAGAAAUCUAUGGGACCAUUGAAAAAUAAAUGCAUUAUGUUGUGAUAGGUCUCUCAGCUUUUUAUUAAAUGCUGAAAUUAAUAUGGAAAAAAUUAAAUUAAUUUAAUUUAAUUAGUUUUUCGAUUUGAUACCCUAAUUAUAUAUUAAUUAAAAAGUGCAUAAUUGUGAUUAUUUUUGGCAGGAUUUGUAACAUCCAAGGUUGCAUGCUGUGGGCAAGGACCUUAUAAUGGGAUUGGAUUAUGCACAGUAGUAUCAAACCUGUGCCCUAAUAGAGACAUCUAUGCAUUUUGGGAUCCAUUUCAUCCAUCUGAAAGGGCUAAUAGAAUCAUUGUUCAACAAAUUGUGACUGGCUCCACCAAGUAUAUGCACCCAAUGAAUCUCAGCACCAUCAUGCUUUUGGAUUCUAGG